GAUGAACGCUGGCGGCGUGCCUAAUACAUGCAAGUCGAGCGAACGGACGAGAAGCUUGCUUUUCUGAUGUUAGCGGCGGACGGGUGAGUAACACGUGGAUAACCUACCUAUAAGACUGGGAUAACUUCGGGAAACCGGAGCUAAUACCGGAUAAUAUUUUGAACCGCAUGGUUCAAAAGUGAAAGACGGUCUGCUGUCACUUAUAGAUGGAUCCGCGCUGCAUUAGCUAGUUGGUAAGGUAACGGCUUACCAAGGCAACGAUGCAUAGCCGACCUGAGAGGGUGAUCGGCCACACUGGAACUGAGACACGGUCCAGACUCCUACGGGAGGCAGCAGUAGGGAAUCUUCCGCAAUGGGCGAAAGCCUGACGGAGCAACGCCGCGUGAGUGAUGAAGGUCUUCGGAUCGUAAAACUCUGUUAUUAGGGAAGAACAUAUGUGUAAGUAACUGUGCACAUCUUGACGGUACCUAAUCAGAAAGCCACGGCUAACUACGUGCCAGCAGCCGCGGUAAUACGUAGGUGGCAAGCGUUAUCCGGAAUUAUUGGGCGUAAAGCGCGCGUAGGCGGUUUUUUAAGUCUGAUGUGAAAGCCCACGGCUCAACCGUGGAGGGUCAUUGGAAACUGGAAAACUUGAGUGCAGAAGAGGAAAGUGGAAUUCCAUGUGUAGCGGUGAAAUGCGCAGAGAUGUGGAGGAACACCAGUGGCGAAGGCGACUUUCUGGUCUGUAACUGACGCUGAUGUGCGAAAGCGUGGGGAUCAAACAGGAUUAGAUACCCUGGUAGUCCACGCCGUAAACGAUGAGUGCUAAGUGUUAGGGGGUUUCCGCCCCUUAGUGCUGCAGCUAACGCAUUAAGCACUCCGCCUGGGGAGUACGACCGCAAGGUUGAAACUCAAAGGAAUUGACGGGGGCCCGCACAAGCGGUGGAGCAUGUGGUUUAAUUCGAAGCAACGCGAAGAACCUUACCAAAUCUUGACAUCCUUUGACAACUCUAGAGAUAGAGCCUUCCCCUUCGGGGGACAAAGUGACAGGUGGUGCAUGGUUGUCGUCAGCUCGUGUCGUGAGAUGUUGGGUUAAGUCCCGCAACGAGCGCAACCCUUAAGCUUAGUUGCCAUCAUUAAGUUGGGCACUCUAAGUUGACUGCCGGUGACAAACCGGAGGAAGGUGGGGAUGACGUCAAAUCAUCAUGCCCCUUAUGAUUUGGGCUACACACGUGCUACAAUGGACAAUACAAAGGGCAGCGAAACCGCGAGGUCAAGCAAAUCCCAUAAAGUUGUUCUCAGUUCGGAUUGUAGUCUGCAACUCGACUACAUGAAGCUGGAAUCGCUAGUAAUCGUAGAUCAGCAUGCUACGGUGAAUACGUUCCCGGGUCU
rnacentral:rRNA from 1 species